GUAUGCACUCACAAAUUCCAAAUGGGUAAAGCGUAUUAUGUGUGCCUCCCCCAUAUGGCACCCAUAAUACGCUUUACCCAUUUGGAAUUUGUGAGUGCAUA